CACUCACAUCUCCUGGCAGUGCUGAUGCCUGGCUAUUUGGAGUCUGGCUGCUGUCUGCCUCUGGCCUGCUGUGCCCUGUCAUUGAAGUGAAGGCUACAGGUGAUGGGAUCAGAAAUUACUAGAUGCCCUGGCGAUGCUUAUGGGCCAUUCAGUAACCGACAAGUUGCUGAUUCCACACAGUCCUAGGGGAGAGUGGAUGUCACUGCAGAACACUGAAAACAAGUCUGCAAGGCAUGAGGAUGAGGACAUCACCUGUAAGCAGACUAAAGACUUAUGUUUAAACAAGAUCUAAAGCAGUCAAUGUCCUGGAAGGAAAAGGAAGUUCAACCUUUGCCAUGGGCUCUGGAUUUAAAGAAACAAUCAAGGCAAGAGUAGGCAGGUAGGUGGACAUCAAAACAAAAUGAAUAGUAAGAAAAGAGUCCCCCAAAGCACAGAUUACCUAAGACACAAUCCACAGACCACAUAAAGCUCAAG